AUUGAACGCUGGCGGCAGGCCUAACACAUGCAAGUCGAGCGGUAACAGAAAGAAAGCUUGCUUUCUUUGCUGACGAGCGGCGGACGGGUGAGUAAUGCCUAGGAAAUUGCCCUGAUGUGGGGGAUAACCAUUGGAAACGAUGGCUAAUACCGCAUAAUCUCUUCGGAGCAAAGAGGGGGACCUUCGGGCCUCUCGCGUCAGGAUAUGCCUAGGUGGGAUUAGCUAGUUGGUGAGGUAAUGGCUCACCAAGGCGACGAUCCCUAGCUGGUCUGAGAGGAUGAUCAGCCACACUGGAACUGAGACACGGUCCAG
rnacentral:rRNA from 1 species